UAGGGAAUCUUCCACAAUGGACGCAAGUCUGAUGGAACAACGCCGCGUGAGUGAAGAAGGUUUUCGGAUCGUAAAGCCCUGUUGUUGGUGAAGAAGGAUAGAGGUAGUAACUGGCCUUUAUUUGACGGUAGUCAACCAGAAAGUCACGGCUAACUACGUGCCAGCAGCCGCGGUAAUACGUAGGUGGCAAGCGUUGUCCGGAUUUAUUGGGCGUAAAGCGAGCGCAGGCGGAAGAAUAAGUCUGAUGUGAAAGCCCUCGGCUUAACCGAGGAACUGCAUCGGAAACUGUUUUUCUUGAGUGAAGAAGAGGAGAGUGGAAUUCCAUGUGUAGCGGUGGAAUGCGUAGAUAUAUGGAAGAACACCAGUGGCGAAGGCGACUCUCUGGUCUGCAACUGACGCUGAGGCUCGAAAGCAUGGGUAGCGAACAGG
rnacentral:rRNA from 1 species